rnacentral:rRNA from 1 species
GAUGAACGCUGGCGGCGUGCCUAACACAUGCAAGUCGAACGGAAAGACCCUGCUUUUGCCUGGUUUCAGAGUGGGGCGGGUGUGUGUAACACGUGAGUAUCCCUCCCUUUGCUGUGUGAUAUCUUCAGGCAACUGCUGCUACUACAUGCGAGCAGCUCCUGCAGCAUGGGGGUCGUUGGAAAUCUUCGGCGGUGGUGGAUGGAGUGGCGGUUUAUGAGCUUGUUGGUGGAGUAGUUGCUUACCAAGGCUUCGGCGGGUAGCCGGCCUGAGAGGGUGACCAGCCACAUUGGGACUGAGGUACGGAGCAGACGGCUACGGGAGGCAACAGGGGGGAAUAUGGCACAAUGGGGGGAAGUGUGAGGCGAAAACGCCGGGAGCGGGAAGACGGCCUUCGGGUUGUAAACCGCUUUCGCCUGUGACGAAGCGGGAGUGACGGUAAUGGGUAAAGAAGCACCGGCUAACUACGUG